CCUGGCGGCCAUAGAGCCUUGGAACCACCCGAUCCCAUCCCGAACUCGGAAGUGAAACGGGGCAUCGCUGAUGGUAGUGUGGGGUCUCCCCAUGUGAGAGUAAGUCACUGCCAGGC
rnacentral:rRNA from 2 species